AGGGGUAUGGUGUCAAUGGUUAGCAUGGUGGUCUCCAAAACCAUAGGUCCGGGUUCAAGUCCUGGUACCCCUGCCA
rnacentral:tRNA from 1 species